CUAAAUUUUAUCUUUCCAUACUGCAUUAAAAAGUUUUAGGUAUAAUUUUGUAAUUUUGAACUUUGGUUUUUAACUUGAUCUCUCUUGCAGAGUUGUGGGUUAAUGGCAUAAGGUCUCUUCCUGUGGCUGGUGCAGAGCCCCUGGCUGCAAUUGAAUCCUAUCACACGAGGUUGAAAUUAAAGCUUUUUAAUGAGCGACAUUCCAAUUCCUGGACGAGGAUUGACUGGUUAAUCUACACUUUGACCACUGAAUUUCACUCCUUAUAUUGGUUAGAUCAAUACAGUGAAGAAAGUGGGUAUUUUGCAAAUAUAAGGGAUGAGUCUUUCUUAACUAAUUCUUUGCAUCAGGCUUUGCAUAUUUCUGACAUUGAUGUGAUGUUGGAUGAGCAAAAUCUCCAACUUGCAAAAGUCAUCUCUCAAACUGACAAAAGUCUAGCAUGUAUAGUUUGGAAUCCUGGUACAGAAUUCUCCCUAUGUGAUCAAGGCUAGGAAAUCUUUGUAAGCAUGUCAUUAAGGUGGCAAUCUUAUGUAAAAGUCGGCAGGUUGCAAGGCCGUUAUUGGCAGUUCAAGUUUAUUGGCAAGCCUUGCUUACCCUUAUGCAGAAUCCUCCUGAUGAUCCUCUAGUUAUCGAGCAUGCAACUUGCUUGCAACACGAUAUCAAAGGCUUGGAAGACUUGUCUAACAGUGGUUUGCUCCAGCCUUUACCUCCUGAAGUGAACCCUCAAAUAGGAGAGAAUCUGCUUUUUCCACGUUUUCUUUGAUUGGGCCUUUGAAAGGUGAUCAGAUUUUCAUUGUCAGCUUUCUAGUUAUACAACUGAUGUUUUAGAUGAGAAUAGGAAAUUUUGUUCCGUCUGCUGCAAUCUGACUCAUACCAAGUCAUUAAUUUGCACCAGCGUGCUUCAAAAAGUUCAGUUCCUGCGUGCAUGAAUUUCAGAUUCUUCAGCAGUGUAGAUACAUUGCAUUGACUUUCGUAUUUUGCCGUAUCCUUAACUGGGGCAUGGAGAGAGAGAGAGACAC
rnacentral:misc_RNA from 1 species